CCUACGGGAGGCAGCAGUGAGGAAUAUUGGUCAAUGGACGAGAGUCUGAACCAGCCAAGUAGCGUGAAGGAUGACUGCCCUAUGGGUUGUAAACUUCUUUUAUAUGGGAAUAAAAUGUUCCACGUGUGGGAUUUUGUAUGUACCAUAUGAAUAAGGAUCGGCUAACUCCGUGCCAGCAGCCGCGGUAAUACGGAGGAUCCGAGCGUUAUCCGGAUUUAUUGGGUUUAAAGGGAGCGUAGGUGGAUUGUUAAGUCAGUUGUGAAAGUUGGCGGCUCAACCGUAAAAUUGAAGUUGAACCUGGGAGUAUGGAGUACAGUUGAGGUGGGCGGAAUGCGUGGUGUAGCGGUGAGAGGAUUAGAUAUCACGAAGAACUCCGAUUGGGAGGGAAGCUCACUGGACUGAAACGGACACGGAGGCUCGAAAGUGUGGGUAUAAAACAGGAUGAGAUACCCGAGUAGUC
rnacentral:rRNA from 1 species